GUCUCCGUGGCUUAGUUGGUUAAAGCGUCGGUCUCAUAAUCCGAAGGUCGUGAGUUCGACUCUCACCGGGGACA
rnacentral:tRNA from 2 species